rfam:Callipepla squamata strain Texas jcf7180005234621, whole genome shotgun sequence.
ACUGUUUCUUAGACUUUUGACUAAGACCAAGUGUAGUAUCUGCUCUUAUCUGUUUAAUAUCUGACACCUCCUCUAGGAGAGGACUUCACAUUAAAUGGAAUUUUGGGCAUGGAAGUUGGACCCAGAGCUUGCUUCAGCCACUCCAUGCAUCAUCCUGGUAUGGGAGUACCUUGAUUUUUAUUUUCCCA